rnacentral:rRNA from 1 species
UGGUGCAUGGCCGUCGUCAGUUCGUACUGUGAAGCAUCCUGUUAAGUCAGGCAACGAGCGAGACCCACGCCCACAGUUGCCAGCGUACUCUCUGGAGUGACGGGUACACUGUGGGACCGCCGCUGCUAAGCGGAGGAAGGAAUGGGCAACGGUAGGUCAGUAUGCCCCGAAUAUCCCGGGCUACACGCGAGCUACAAUGGUUGGUACAAUGGGUAUCUACCCCGAAAGGGGACGGGAAUCUCCUAAAACCAAUCUUAGUUCGGAUUGAGGGCUGCAACUCGCCCUCAUGAAGCUGGAAUCCGUAGUAAUCGCGUUUCAACAGAACGCGGUGAAUACGUCCCUGCUCCUU